CCAUGAAGUUGGAUUCGCUAGUAAUCGCGCAUCAGCCAUGGCGCGGUGAAUACGUUCCCGGGCCUUGUACACACCGCCCGUCAAGCCAUGGGAGCCGGGGGUGCCUGAAGUUCGUGACCGCAAGGAGCGACCUAGGGCAAAACUGGUGACUGGGGCUAAGUCGUAACAAGGUACC
rnacentral:rRNA from 1 species